AUGAAGGCCCUAUCCUCCUCAAAGCGGGACCUGAGGAAGCAGCUGUUCUCGGGUGUUCCAAUGUCCAGCAAGGCCCCAUCCGUCUUCCCCUUGGCUUCCUGCUGCAAAGAUGCUGCUGCCGCCUCGGCUGUGGUGCUCGGCUGCCUGGUCACCGGCUUCUUCCCGGAGCCUGUGGCCGUGACCUGGGACACAGGUGCCCUGCAGAGCAGCGUGGUCACCCUCCCCGCCUCCCUGCACUCCUCUGGCCUCUACACCACCGUCAGCCAGCUGAGAGUCCCGGGGGCACAGGCCUCGGGGACCUUCACCUGCAGCGUGGUGCAUGGGGCGUCCCCGCCCUCCAACAGGACCUUCUCAGCCUGCCGCAAUAACAUCCCCCGCCUCACCCUCCUGUGCCUCAUCCUGGGCGUCCCUGCCGAGAACGUCAGCGUCACCUGGCUGGUGGACGAGGAAGAGUCCAACAGCAUAGCCCCCUACGUGGGCACCCUGAAGCAGGAGGACGGGCUGUCCUCCACCUACAGCGAGGUAAACAUCACCCAGGGCCAGUGGGUCUCGGAGAGGACCUACACCUGCCGGGCCACCUACGAAGGCCACAACUUUGAGGAGCACGCCCGCAAGUGCUCAGACCCUGAGCCCCGCGGCGUGCGCGUCUACCUGAGCCCGCCCAGCCCUGUCGAGCUGUACGUGCAGAAGGCGCCCAAGCUCACGUGCCUGGUGGUGGACCUGGCCCGGGAGGACGGCAUGAGCCUCAGGUGGCUGCAGGGGGGCAAAACCUCCACCGGAAAAGCCAUGACAUUCACGAAGCGGCACCACAAUGGCACCCUGAGUGUCACGUCCACCCUGGCCGUGCUCACCCAGGACUGGGUGGAGGGCGAGACAUUCCAGUGCGUGCUGGAGCAUCCGGACCUGCCCAGGAAGAUCGUGUGCUCCCUCGCCAAGACCCCAGGCCAGCGGGCAGCCCCUGAGAUCUACGUGUUCAAGACUCCAGAUGAGGGUGCGGCCAGCACGAACAAGGUGACCCUCACCUGCCUGGUCCAGAACUUCUUCCCCGCGGACAUCUCGGUGCUGUGGCUGCGGGACCAGGCCCACGAGGGCGCGGAGCAUCAGGCCACCACGCAGCCGCAGCCGAUGAGCAGAGCCGGGACCCGCUUCUUCGUCUUCAGCCGCCUGGAGGUGGCCCGGCAGGACUGGGAGAAGGGCACCACCUUCUCCUGCCGGGCCGUGCACGAGGCGCUGCCCCAGCCCCGCACGCUGGACCGGUCGCUGUCCAAGGCCCGCGAGCUGGUGCUGCAGGACAUGUGCGUGGACGCGGCCGAGAGCCUGGAGCUGGCCGGGCUGUGGAGCAGCCUCCUCGCCUUCAUCACCCUCUUCAUGCUCAGCGUCGGCUACGGUGCCGCUGUCACCCUCUGCAAGGUGCACCGGACCUUGAUGGUGGGGGCGCAGGAGCCCCCCAAGACCUCCCAUGACUACACCAACAUCCCGUGGCCGGCAGCAUAG